rnacentral:lncRNA from 1 species
UUUCAUUCCUUUCCUUACCAUCUAGCUGCAAAAUAUCCUGUGGGUUAAAGGAUGGCACAUGGAAUGCGGGGUUUCAAAAACAACAAAAAGGGCUGUCUUUAAUGCUGUGCUAUAAGACGUUUUUCACUAAGGGAUUUUAAAUUAGUUUUCAAGGGGGGUUAUAUUCUAGCAUUCCUUCAAUGAUUCUGACAGAGAUGCAUGGACAAGACAAAUAUCUCAAGACAAACAUAUUUUGUAAUUCUAAAGUUUUAGGGAAAAAGAAGGAAAUUUGGAAUUCAUUUAAUCACACUGGCAAUUUGGUCAAAAUUAUAUAUAUAUUUUUGUAUCAUUGUCAAACAUAAUGUUAUCUUUGUAUCCACUUACAAUAUAAGCCUUUCAAAAGAUAUGUAAUGUGGAAGUGCCACGUUGUUUUUAAGUCUUUGUGACUAUGUCAGCCUUGAGACUGGGUAGGCAUGCCACUUUCCACUGUGUGACCACUAUUCUUGACAGUGGAAUGAGUUAUCACCGAAUGUUAAUGCCUCUCAUGUUCUCUUCAUUAUACAUACUCAUUUUCAUGACAAAGAGUGUAAAAGGAACAGAAUAUGGUGCAAAAUUAAUAUCUUCUCCUGACAAUCUGGAAGCGGUAUUCCAUGAUCUUACACUGAAGGCACAGCUGAGGACUUUGACAACUGUUUUGGCUUGUAAAAACUUAUUGCGCAUAUCUGAGAGAAGAGAACCAUGACUAUUGGUGUUGACUUCUGAUGAAUUCACUUACAACACUCAAGGAUUUCAAGGGUACAGUUGUUCUUCAGAGUGAUAUAACACCGUUAUGGAGGGUAUGACACCUGCUG